AGGAAGUAAGGGAGAGCCUAUCUACAGGUCUGCAGUCAGUCUGCUUAGUGACCCUGGGCCUGCUGGUGAUCCUGGUGGACCUGGUCCACCUGGGCGUCUGGGGGUCAAGGGCCAUAGGGGACCACCUGGACCAGCGGGGCUGGACG